AAAGAGAAAAAUAAGAAAAGAGAGAGGAUGAAAGAAAAAUAGAAAGAAAAGAAGAAGAGAGUUUGAGCGAUGAAGAACAAGAAGAAGAAGAGAAAGACGAUGAGAUAAAAAUAGAGAGAGAAGAAGAAGAAAGUUUGAGAGAAAAAUAGAAGAAUGUAGAGGAAGAAAAAGAAAAGGUUGAGAGAGAAAAGAAAAGUCCUUUGUGCCCUAAGGAGUAUCCCAAGGAGAAAAAGAGAGAGGGGAAGGAUAAAAGCAAAAAGAAAGAAUCAUAUGAAAAAC
rnacentral:lncRNA from 1 species